GGCAACUGCUUUACCACUGAGCCAUAAUCCCGGCCCCCAUUUGUAUUUCUUCUUUUGAGAAGUGUCUGUUUAAUUCAUCGACAACUUAAAAAAUUUAAAAAAAAAAAAAAAAGGGAGCGGGGGGCUGGAGUUGUGGCUCAGUGGUUGAGCGCUUGCU
rnacentral:miRNA from 1 species